CCGCAUAGCACGGGGGAACCGACGCAUAGCACUUCUGUAGUCUGAGGUUCGGGGCACGUAUCCGUCCCGUCAUGUUAGGGAACAAAAAAAUAAAGGAACGUCUGAAUGAGUUGAAGUAAACGGCCUCGUGUCGUGGUCGUGGCUCCUGUAGAGUGCUGAAGAAAGAAGCUGGUCUCCCCUGUCCACGUGAGCUGGUACAGCCCUCUCUGAAUUACGCCAGAUAGGAGUCCUCCACGCUGGUCACACGCUCUGUGACCUCUCUCUUGGGGUUUGGACAGCGGUCCCUGACAGCCUGCAUACCACUGGUAGUAAAGAGAAAUUAACAUAAAUUAGAAGAUGAAUAAACUUUGAAUAAGAAAAAAGCUGAAUGACUCCAGGAAAAGAAAGGACAAGAGUCAACUUUUCUGCAUGGACUCGAUCCCAUCCUUUCCCAUCUUCUUCAGCAGAUUGGUUCCACAACUAUUCCUACGUCAUCUGAAAUCUCCCCCAUCUACUGAUUCCUUCAGCUAGUAGCUGGUGAAUUCCCCCACCCUCCAAAAACUUUUACAAUGUUUUAUUUUUUAUAUAGUUUGUAUUUACUUAUUUUUGUAUAAAUUGUAUUCCAUAGUAGAAUGUAAAGGCCUCAAGAGUUGGCUCUGUUUCAUUUCUGUCUUUGUAUCUCUGGCACCUCCAGAGUAUUUGGCACAAGGCUGGUCUUUAAUAAAUGUUUAUUUAUUGAUUGCCUUAGCAGGUUAAAGAUUGUUGAUAUCCUCAGAAAAAGCAAUUUCAGUGGAAUGGUGGCACCAAAAGUCACACUGCCAGGAAUUAGGGAGGAGGGGGAUGCAAUAAAUGCUGAGUCUCUCUUCCAAUUCAUUGUGCAAGUGACUGCCACAUUAUUCUUCCUUAAAUCCCCCAUUGAUCCUUUUUCUCCCUUACUGAGAAACCUACAAUAAUAUGCCAUUGCCUAUCAAAUAAAGGUCAAACUUUUAGCCAUGUAGUCAAAUCCCUCCACAAUGCAAAAUACUUUUCAAGUUUUAUCAUAUUAUAACUAGCCAUUUUCCAAAUACGUAAUGGCUGUGAUGACAAUAGCAAAGCCUACACUUUCUCAAGUGCUGUGGACCAAAGACAUAUAGACAAAUGCAUCAAACAGGAGUGUCAAGGAAAAGAAGAAAGAAAAAAAAAACAAGGAAGGGGGAAUGAAAUCUCUGGAAGAUUGGCAGGUGUAGGUAGUGGCUGUCUGUCUCCAGGACAAAGAGUUCCUACACUAAAUCAGGGUAUGCAGAGCCUGGGCUAUGAUGACAGCUGUAGCAAUGGCAGUAGACAGAAGUGACAGAGGCUUUCUGAGAUCAGGCAGGAUCUGUAGGAGCUGUGGUGACCUGGCUAGGAUGUGCCAAUGAGUAGUAUGGUGACCAAUGCUGACUGGACAUAAGGAAAAAACUCCAAUGUCACUCACAUUGAUGGGAUUUUGCUGUUGUUGUAAGUUUGUUCCUUGCUUUGAACUGCGGGUUGAGUCCAGGGGUGUCCUGUGCUGGAACCAGCUUGAAUUUGGGAAUCAGUUGUUAAAAUUUCAGUAUGAGUA